GGGCAAUUGGCUCAGUGGUUAGAGCGUACGGUUCACAUCCGUAAGGUCGGGGGUUCAAAUCCCUCAUUGCCCA
rnacentral:tRNA from 1 species